rnacentral:rRNA from 1 species
CGCCGGUCUAAGUCCCUUGGAACGGGGCGUCGCAGAGGGUGAGAAUCCCGUACGCGACCGGCGGCGAAGCCCGUGCGGGGCCCUUUCGACGAGUCGAGUUGUUUGGGAAUGCAGCUCAAAACGGGUGGUAAAUUUCAUCUAAAGCUAAAUACCGGCCGGAGACCGAUAGCGCACAAGUAGAGUGAUCGAAAGAUGAAAAGCACUUUGGAAAGAGAGUUAAAAAGCAUGUGAAAUUGUUGAAAGGGAAGCGCUCGCAGCCAGACUCGCCCGCGGGUGAUCACCCGUCCCAAGGGGCGGCGCACUCUCCCGCGGUCGGGCCAGCAUCGGUUCGGGCGGCCGGACAAAGGCCCGAGGAACGUGGCUCCCCUCGGGGAGUGUUAUAGUCUCGGGCGCAAUGCGGCCUGCCCGGACCGAGGACCGCGCUCCGGCAAGGAUGCUGGCGUAAUGGCUGCCAGCGACCCGUCUUGAAACACGGACCAAGGAGUCGACCAACCAUGCGAGUGUUUGGGUGACAAACCCGCACGCGUAAUGAAAGUGAACGGAGGUGAGAGCCCUCGGGCGCAUCAUCGACCGAUCCUGAUGUCUUCGGAUGGAUUUGAGUAAGAGCACGGCUGGUCGGACCCGAAAGGCAAGUAAUGUUCUUUCCAAGUCCCGUAAUCCCGGCUGACCAUUCUUCCCAGAUGGUGAACUAUGCGCGGAUAGGGUGAAGCCAGAGGAAACUCUGGUGGAGGCUCGCAGCGGUUCUGACGUGCAAAUCGAUCGUCAAAUCUACGCAUAGGGGCGAAAGUAAGUCGAUUCCUUGCCUCUAGUUUUGCGUUUUUGGAGAGCCGGCCGGCCCAGCCAGCCGUUGCGGGUUGCAGGGGCCGGGGUUGUCCAGGCGGAUGCCACCUGCCUCAUUACGGCCGUGGAAAACAGCGGCUAACCGGGGGUCUGUCUUUUAGGACUAAUCGAACCAUCUAGUAGCUGGUUCCUGCCGAAGUUUCCCUCAGGAUAGCAGUAACGCCUUCAGUUUUAUGAGGUAAAGCGAAUGAUUAGAGGCCUUGGGGUUGAAACAACCUUAACCUAUUCUCAAACUUUAAAUAUGUAAGAAGUCCUUGUUGCUCGGUUGAACGUGGACGCUCGAAUGC